AUUUUAAAUUAUAGUAAAUAAAAAUUACGAAAUAAAAUUAAAAGGACGCGGUAACCUUGACCGUGAUAAUGUAGCAUAAUCAUUCGCCAUUUAAUUGAUGGAUAGUAUGAAUGGUUGAACGAAUAUUUCACUGUCUUAAAAAGAAAUACCAAAAAAUUAGAAUAAUAGUAAAGAUACUAUUUUAGAUUGUAAGACGAAAAGACCCUAUAGAGCUUAACUAUAACUUCCCUAUGUAAAAAGAAAAUCUUUCUUAAUUUAAGGAGGUAGGUAGUUUAGUUGGGGCGACUAUCUUUUAAAAAUAACAAAGAUAAGCAAAGUAAAUAAAAAAACUUAUUGUAUAAUUAAUAAAUUUAACAAUUAUAAAAAUAGGCUAUAAUGACCCGUUAUAAUUAAAUAAAAAAAAUAACGAUCAAUAAAUAAAAGCUACCUUAGGGAUAACAGGAUAAUUUUAUUUUAGAGAUCUAAUCGAAAAUAAAGUUUGUCACCUCUAUGUUGAAUUAAGAUAUCCUAACAAUGCAGAAGUCGACG
rnacentral:rRNA from 1 species